UGCUGGGAUUAAAGGAGUGUGCCACUACCGCCCGGCUCGAUACCAGUCUUAAGUAAUAACAGAAGUCUUAAAACUCUUAAUUCUUUUAUCAGGAUCUAUUAGGCAAAAAAGCACUUUAAUUCAGUCAGCUGUGCUGGUGGAAACAUGUUUCUAGGGAGUUUUGUAGAGUUUACACUUUGGAGGCUGGGACAGUUUGUGGGAGCGUGCUUAUUAGGAAAGCAUGUAGUUUGCUUUACAAAAACAAACGUAGACCUGGUAAUUUACUUAUUUCUGACAUUUUUCUCAUAAGUUGUCUCUAAAUAGUGAAUUUCCUUGAAGCUCUAUAUACUGAUGAUGUGUUUUUUCAGCUUUACCUAAAAAGAGAAGUAAAAGUUGUAAUUUUUGUUUACACUCCAGUCCAUUUAAUGCCUAUAUCUUAAAGUUAUGGUUUGAGUUCCUAACUACAUGACUUUUUGGGUGGUUUUUGUUUUUUUUUGUUUUUUUUUAAAGAUUUAUGUAUGAUAGUUGUGAGCCAUCAUGUGGUUGCUGGGAAUGAAGGCUCGCUCUGGCCUAAAUAUAUUUAUUGUUUAUGUACUAUAAUAUAUCUAUAAUAAUAAUUAUUUUUGUUUUUUUUUUUUUUUUUGAGACAGGGUUUCUCUGUGUAGCCUUGGCUGUCCUGGAACUCACUCUGUAGACCAGGCUGGCCUCGAACUCAGAAGUCCGCCUGCCUCUGCCUCCCAAGUGCUGAGAUUAAAAGGCAAUGGGCCACCACUGCCUGGCAAUUUAUUCUUUUUGCUAGCUUUAACUCAUUGAACUGAAUCAUUUGAUUGUUUUGGUUUUUAAUUUUGAGAUAAGGGCUUACUUUGUGCCUGAGGCUGACCUAGAACUCACUGUAUAGCUUAGGCUGCUCAAACUCAGAAACAAUUAGAAACAAUAUGAUUUUUGCUAGGUAAGAUUGGAUUUAAGAUGUAUGUUAACUUGGCAUGGUGGUGCAAACCUGUAAUCCUAGCUGCAAUCAUUUAGCAGAGCCUGGAUUUGAAUGCAAGCAAUAUAUUUUUUAGGAGGCUGAAAUAGUAAGGUCUAAUACAAGUUUAGGAUUAGCCUGGCUACAGAAUUACAGAUACACUGUUCUAAACAAAACAAUCCCUAAAAUACAUACUUAAUGUUGUAGGAAAUAACUGUUCUAGAGAAUUGUAAUUAGUUGACUUCUUAAAAUGGUUCUUUUUCACAGUCUCAAGAAUUUAAAUUUGUCAUUUUUCUGUAUUUUCCUUUUAUUCUGACCCAGAUUAACAUAGUUAUUCCUAGUCUAUGAACUUGGAAAGAGAUUAUAUUAUAUAAAAGACAAGUGAGGCUAUAAUGUUAACCUGGUGACUGAUUUCAUUUGUUCACAUUAAAAAUUCAAGUGCGGGCAGGUGAGAUGGCUCAGCGGUUAAGAGCGCAGACUGCUCUUCCAAAGGUCCUGAGUUCAAAUCCCAGCAACCACAUGGUGGCUCACAACCAUCUGUAACAAAAUCUGAUGCUCUCUUCUGGAGUGUCUGAAGACAGCUACAGUGUACUUACAUAUAGUAAGUAAAUAAAUAUUUAAAAAAUUAAAAAAAUAAAAAAUAAAUAAAAAAAGAGCUUAAAAAAAUUCAAGUGCAAGAUCCUGGUCAUGUGAAAUUUACCCUAAUUCAUACUUUGGUACUUCCACAACUGGGCUUCUGUAUUCAGAAUUUAAAUCGUGUUAUUUGAGAUUUCUGGUAGCUUUAAUUUUUUUCUUUUAGAUCAGUGGUUCUCAAUAUCAUAUUUAUAUUAUAAUUCAUAACAGUAGCAAAAUUACAAUUAUGAAGUAGCAAUGAAAAUAAUUUUAUGGUUGGUUAUCAUAAGGAACUACAUUAAAGGCUUGUGUUGGAAAGAUUGAGAACCAAUGUUUUAGAUAAUACUGAUGGCAGAAGAAAUGAAAUAAUUUCUGAAAAUACUUGAAAUAAUAAUCACUACUGCUUAGUAGAUUUUUGGUAUGUCAGUUUUUUUGUUUUUGUUUUUUUGAGACAGCAUCUCUGUGAUAACCCUAGUUGUCCUGGAACUCCCUUUAUAGAACAGGCUGGGCUGGAACUCACAGGGAUCUACCAGUCUCUGUGUUGGGGUUAAAGGUGUAUGCCACCAUAUUCAGCUUUAUUAUUUUUUAUAUUAAUAUAUUUUCAGUAACUUGAAUUUUAAUUGCUAUUUUUAAAAGAUUUAUUUAUUUAUGUAUAUGAGUACACACUGUAGCUGUACAGAUAGUUGUGAACCUUCAUCUGGUUGUUGGGAAUUGAAUUUAGUACCUCUGCUCCCUCCGGUCGGCUGGGUGGUUUGUCAGCUACCAUGUGGUUGCUAGGAUUUGACCUCAGGACCUUUGAAAGCGCAGUCAGUCCUCUUACCCGCUGAGUCACCUCACCAGCCUCCUUAAUUGCUAUUUUUUAAACAUGGGAAAUAUCUGGUCUUAUAGAAAUAGAUGAGGUACUAGAUGGUGGCAGCACACACCUUUAAUCCCAGCAGAGGCAGGCAUAUCUCUCUGAGUUUGAGUCUGGUCUGCAGAGUGAGUUCCAGGACAGCUUUGGUUCCCAGAAAAACCCUGUCUUGAAAAACCAAAAUAC
rnacentral:lncRNA from 1 species